CAUUGCGAGACGUCUCAGACGCCUGAAGAACCAUUUUUCGACAAAAAUGCGUUCCUCGAUAAAAACACCUUCUAGGAAAACCAAACAAUCAUACGCACUAACAUCUUCUCAAACACGUAUCCUUCGCAGAGAGUCAAAAACCGUAAUAUCUACCGAUAAGUUUGUUGCUGAUCAAAACAAACUCUCAACGUCCUAAACAGACUAAGCCAUCUCGUAGAGAUAGCUCUCGUACACCCGACACAAGG
rnacentral:lncRNA from 1 species